rnacentral:lncRNA from 1 species
CAUUUUGAUGUUUGCCUAAUCAAGACACAACUUUCGAUGCAAGUGUCUACGAUCGUACAAUAGUUUAGUAAGCCAACCAAGAGUUAGGGUCGAGUCCCAAGGGAGUGGGCGUGAGAAUUAGUGGUUAAGUACGAAAGUGCUAAAGCUAAUCGUAGCUAAAGACUUUGGCGAAUGAAAACAUAACAAAUUAAAAAGGGUGAAGCAAGCGUGAAGUAUCAAAUGGG